rnacentral:rRNA from 1 species
CAGCCUACGGGACGCAGCAGUGGGGAAUCUUCCGCAAUGGGCGAAAGCCUGACGGAGCAACGCCGCGUGAUCGAAUGAAGGCCUUCGGGUUGUAAAGAUCUGUUGACAGGGACGAAUAAGCAAUGCGAAUAGUUUUGUGUAUGACGGUACCUGUUUAGAAAGCUCCGGCUAACUACGUGCCAGCAGCCGCGGUAAUACGUAGGGAGAAAGCGUUGUCCGGAAUUAUUGGGCGUAAAGGGCGCGUAGGUGGGGGCUUAAGUCAGGUGUGAAAAGUCGGGGCUCAACAUGGAGAUUGAAGUUGAAAG